CCUACGGGAGGCUGCAGUGAGGAAUAUUGGUCAAUGGGCGAGAGCCUGAACCAGCCAAGUCGCGUGAAGGAUGACGGCCCUACGGGUUGUAAACUUCUUUUGUCAGGGAGAAAUUGGGUCCACGCGUGGGCUUAGCGAGAGUACCUGAAGAAAAAGCAUCGGCUAACUCCGUGCCAGCAGCCGAGGUAAUACGGGGGAUGCGAGGUUUAUCCGGAUUGUUUGGUUUUAAGGGGUGCGUAGGCGGAAUAUCAAGUCAGCGGUAAAAAUUCGGGGCUCAACCCCGUCGUGCCGUUGAAACUGUUGUUCUUGAGUGGGCUAGAAGUAUGCGGAAUGCGUGGUGUAGCGGUGAAAUGCAUAGAUAUCACGCAGAACUCCGAUUGCGAAGGCAGCAUACCGGCGCCCAACUGACGCUGACGCACGAAAGCGUGGGUAUCGAACAGGAUUAGAUACCCGAGUAGUC
rnacentral:rRNA from 1 species